UCUCUGUGAUGUUUCCAAUGGAUCCUACUGAACCCUCUGCUGUGGCGUCAGUACAAGAGGUUUUGAAGAGAUUCUGUGGCUGAGAGA